CAAGUAAACACAUCCGAGGGGACCAAUCUCAAAAGACUUUGAAAGGCGACAACAUUUAUCAAUUCUAAUCCGGUACAAUGUACUCGACCAAGUUAUUACUUCUGGUUGCGGUAGUCUGUUUGACUACCAUCUACUUUACCAACGGCGAAGAAAACGAGCAGCAACGAUCAACCAGCUUUCUCGAAGAGAAUAAGCGAUUGAUGAGCGAGGGAAGUGGAAAUAGUGGAAAUGAAGAAUCGAAAGCUCCGUGAAUGAAACGUCAGACUUGUUCUACUAUACGAUGUGGGGCUGAUUGUGCUAGAAAUAAUCUAUUGGGAGUAUGUAGGAGAGGUUCAUGUGAAUGCCAUUCAAGAAACUAAAAAAUUGUAAUUUUAAUAACAUAAUUUUGUUUAGCAACUUAAUCAGUAAGAACAGUUGAGAAGCUGCGAGAAUUUUUGUUUUCAAAUGUCAUACUUCGAGCUUAUUCCCAAUAAGUACUAAGACCAAUAAAUUCCAAUGAAACUAACAUUCAAAUAUCCAUGAUUUAACAUUUCGAAUCCGUUUUAUUGUUUCCCGAAAAUCAUGUGCAAAUGCUUUUAAAAUUGAAUGUUGAAUUUUUAUUUUGUUUGUUUCUUCAUAAUUCCUCUUUCCAAUGCACCGUAGCAAAAACCUUUGCCUAAAUAUUCAUUAUUAACGCAGCAUAAAUUAAAAACCAGUAAUGCAUCAGCAAUAUAAAGAGUUAGGAAAACACACUUCAUAGGGAAUAAUCUUAGCCCAACCUGAGUCCGAACAACAUUCACCACAUUCGCAUCGUCGAAAUGAAUUUACUCAAGCUAGUACUUACUGUAGCAGUGCUCUGUUUGACAGUCUGGCAAACAAAAAGUGAAAAAAUUGACUUUCGGUUAAGUUUAGUAAGAGAAAAUAGACCACAUCUUUAUUCAAGUCCUUCUGCUGUCGAAAACGUCGACGAUGGAGACGACCAGCCGGAAGUUAAUCGCUUUCAAUCGCAAAUUUGUACCACCGAGCAGUGUUUUCCCUACUGUUCGGUGAUAGGGCUGUCCGGUAGAUGUACCAAUGGUCGAUGCAUCUGCACCACGUUUAACGUUUUCGGAUCCAGUAAUUUUGGAAAAUAAAUGUUUAAUAGUAGAGUCGA